CCGUUUUAUGAUGUACUAAUGUAAUGGUUUAUUACUGUAUGCUUAGUAGAUAUAUACAUGCUUCCUCACUCAUUUUUAUCUUCUUUUUUCUCCCAAAUCUACUGAUAUUAUAGGCAUUUUAUUAUACCAGAAUUCAUGUUUGA
ensembl:ncRNA T25D10.7 ncRNA